rnacentral:tRNA from 1 species
AGCCCCGUAGUCUAGUGGUCACGGACGCGGCCCUUUGGCGGCCGAAACCCCGGUUCGAAUCCGGGCGGGGCUA